rnacentral:rRNA from 1 species
AGCUUGCUCUUAAAGUUGACUGAGUGGGCGGACGGGGUGAGUAAACGCGUGGGGUAAACCCUGCCUCAUACAGGGGGACAACAGUUGGAAACGACUGCUAAUACCGCAUAACAUUUCAGAACCGCAUGGUUUUGAAAUCAAACUUUUUGGGUAUGAGAUGGGCCCGCGUCUGAUUAGCUAGUUGGUAAGGUAACGGCUUACCAAGGCGACGAUCAGUAGCCGGCUUGAGAGAGUGAACGGCCACAUUGGGACUGAGACACGGCCCAAACUCCUACGGGAGGCAGCAGUGGGGAAUAUUGCACAAUGGGGGAAACCCUGAUGCAGCGACGCCGCGUGAGUGAAGAAGUAUUUCGGUAUGUAAAGCUCUAUCAGCAGGGACGAAAAUGACGGUACCUGACUAAGAAGCCCCGGCUAACUACGUGC